rnacentral:rRNA from 1 species
UACGUAGGGAGCGAGCGUUGUCCGGAAUUACUGGGUGUAAAGGGUGCGUAGGCGGCCUUGUGGGUCAGGCGUGAAUACAUGGGCUUAACCCAUGGACUGCGCUUGAAACUAUAAGGCUUGAGUGAAGUAGAGGCAGGUGGAAUUCCCGGUGUAGCGGUGAAAUGCGUAGAGAUCGGGAGGAACACCGAGUGGCGAAGGCGGCCUGCUGGGCUUUAACGUGACGCUGAGGCACGAAAGCAUGGGAUAGCAAACAGGGAGUAAGAUG